rnacentral:rRNA from 1 species
UUACCUACGGGAGGCAGCAGUGAGGAAUAUUGGUCAAUGGCCGGAAGGCUGAACCAGCCAAGCCGCGUGAAGGACGAAGGUGCCAAGCAUUGUAAACUUCUUUUGUCAAGGGACAAAAUCAGGCUCGAGAGCCUGACCGAGGGUACUUGAAGAAAAAGCAUCGGCUAACUCUGUGCCAGCAGCCGCGGUAAUACAGAGGUCUCAAGCGUUGUUCGGAAUCACUGGGCGUAAAGCGUGCGUAGGCUGUUUCGUAAGUCGUGUGUGAAAGGCGCGGGCUCAACCCGCGGACGGCACAUGAUACUGCG